GUCAGCGAUUGUCUUAGAAUGAAUUCGGAAAUGCAGUCCAAGCAACGUUGGGCCUGGUUAGUACUUGGAUCGGAGACGGCUUGGGAAUCCCAGGUGUCGUAAGCU
rnacentral:rRNA from 1 species